UACAGAGGGUGCGAGCGUUAAUCGGAAUUACUGGGCGUAAAGCGCACGUAGUCGGCUUUGCAAGUCGGUUGUGAAAUCCCCGGGCUCAACCUGGGAACUGCAUCCGAGACUGCAUUGCUAGAGUAUGGGAGAGGAAAGCGGAAUUUCUGGUGUAGCAGUGAAAUGCGUAGAUAUCAGAAGGAACAUCAGUGGCGAAGGCGGCUUUCUGGACCAAUACUGACGCUGAGGCGCGACAGCGUGGGGAGCAAACAGG
rnacentral:rRNA from 1 species